UAGCACGGUGGUCCCACCUGACCCCAUGCCGAACUCAGAAGUGAAACGCCGUAGCGCCGAUGGUAGUGUGGGGUCUCCCCAUGUGAGAGUAGGGA
rnacentral:rRNA from 1 species